UGCUUGUUUAGCUCAGUUGGCAGAGCACAUCACUAGUAAUGAUGAGGUCGCUGGUUCGAGACUGGCAACAAGCAU
rnacentral:tRNA from 1 species